GCAGCAGCCGCGGUAAAACGAAGGGUGCAAGCGUUAAUCGGAAUUACUGGGCGUAAAGCGUGCGUAGGCGGUUUGUUAAGUCUGUUGUGAAAUCCCCGGGCUCAACCUGGGAAUGGCAAUGGAUACUGGCAAGCUAGAGUGUGUCAGAGGAUGGUGGAAUUCCCGGUGUAGCGGUGAAAUGCGUAGAGAUCGGGAGGAACAUCAGUGGCGAAGGCGGCCAUCUGGGACAACACUGACGCUGAGGCACGAAAGCGUGGGGAGCAAGCAGGAUUAGAUACCCGCGUAGUCCCUGUCUCUUAUAA
rnacentral:rRNA from 1 species